UACGUAGGGUGCAAGCGUUGUCCGGAAUUAUUGGGCGUAAAGAGCUCGUAGGCGGUCUGUCGCGUCUGCUGUGAAAACUAAGGGCUUAACCCUGAGCUUGCAGUGGGUACGGGCAGACUAGAGUGCGGUAGGGGAGACUGGAAUUCCUGGUGUAGCGGUGAAAUGCGCAGAUAUCAGGAGGAACACCGGCGGCGAAGGCGGGUCUCUGGGCCGUAACUGACGCUGAGGAGCGAAAGCGUGGGUAGCAAACAGG
rnacentral:rRNA from 1 species